rnacentral:SRP_RNA from 1 species
GCCAGGCACAAUGGCACCUGCCUGUAGUCCCAGCUACUCCCGAGGCUGAAGUGGGAGGAUCACUUGAGCCCAGGAGUUCUGGGCUGUAGUGCACUACGCUGAUUGGGUGUCCGCACUAAGUUCGGCAUCAAUAUGGUAAACUCCCAGGAGCAGCGGACCACCAGGUUGUCUAAGGAGUAGUGAACAGCCCAGGUCAGAAACGGAGCAGAUCAAAACUCUCAUGCUGAUCAGUAGUGGGAUCGGGCCUGUGAAUAGCCUCUGCACUCCAGCCUGGGCAACAUAGCGAGACCCUGUCUCU